rnacentral:lncRNA from 1 species
UUAGCCCCACUCAGAACACCCACCCCAAAAUCAGAGGAACCAACCUGUACAGAGUCAGCACAAUGAUAGUAUGAUGCAUGCAAACAUUUAUGCAAAUACAUACAGUCAUAGUAUAAUAAUCAUAAAUGCAAUAAAUACAACAACACAAGCAACCUAAACUACCCUAGAGAGCGUUAGGAACGACUCGCUUAGGGAAGAUGGACCAGCAAGAGGUCAAC